rnacentral:rRNA from 1 species
UACGUAGGGGGCAAGCGUUGUCCGGAAUUAUUGGGCGUAAAGAGCGUGUAGGCGGUCCGGUAAGUCCGCUGUGAAAGUCAAAGGCUCAACCCUUGAAUGCCGGUUGAUACUGUCGGGCUAGAGUCCGGAAGAGGCGAGUGGAAUUCCCGGUGUAGCGGUGAAAUGCGCAGAUAUCGGGAGGAACACCAAUGGCGAAGGCAGCUCGCUGGGACGGUACUGACGCUGAGACGCGAAAGCGUGGGGAGCAAACAGG